AAAGAUUAAGCCAUGCAUGUCUAAGUAUAAGCGACUUAUACUGUGAAACUGCGAAUGGCCCUUUAUAUCAGUAAUAGUUUAUUUGAUGGUCCCUUACUACCUGGAUACCCGUAGUAAUUCUAGAGCUAAUACAUGCACUACGAUCCCAACUGCUUGUCGGACGGGUAGCAUUUAUUAGAUUGAAACCAAUGCAGUCUUCGGGCUGGUAUUGUGUUGAGUCAUAAUAACUGUGCGGAUCGCACUCAGUGCGAUAAAUCGAUUGAGUUUCUGCCCUAUCAGCUUUGGAUGGUAGGAUAUGGGCCUACCAUGGCAU
rnacentral:rRNA from 1 species